CUAUAUAGGAAGCGUCCGUUUCGACGGACUAUGGUGAUAAAUUGUGACGUGUAAUAGACACUACGGACCCGGGGGCAGUACCCGGCGGCUCCACCAUUUCAGGCGAUUUGCUGUGUGCAGGACGCUUUUGCUGAUGGGGCCGAACCAGGAUCGACGGGUGUUCAAAGGCGUUAUUUUUACCCGGCCUGAGUAUGCCGUGAUUGCUCAAAACCUAUAAGUGCAAACGAUAACGAAGCACUCGCUAUUGCUGCCUAACCCAUUGACCUCACGGUCAUAAGUUAGAAAGCUACGCGCGGUUGAACCCACCGGGCAACAGAAGGGAAUUCAGCGGUUUGGAAGGCACCGG
rnacentral:tmRNA from 1 species